GAGUAAUAGAAACACUGUUUCAUUUCUUCUCUUUAUAUGAUUUCUCUAUGAUGCCUGCCUGGUGCAAAGAGUGUAUAAAAAUGAUUGCUGGUUAAAGAGGUACAGAUUUCUACUUGUAAUUAUAUUUUGUUCUCUAUUGAAAUAUAUUUCUAUUUUCCUGAUAAUUCGCACUGUGGUGAAUAAUCCUGUUAGUGUUUAGUUACUUCUCUCAUUCACUUCUUUAGAAACUCCCUGGCCAUCCCACCCCACCAUCAAAUAAAACAAGAGCAGUUAUUUUUUUAAUUGCAGUCACGUUUAUUUGCAGCUUCUAUACACACUUUCUAUGUAAUCAAACUUUUCUGACACAUUUUUGAGGGGUUCACAAAAGAAAUUGUCACCAUUUUUACUAAAAAAUAAAUACAAGACUUAAAGUGUUGCACAGCUCUAAAAUAUACAAAGGCUUAGAUUUAAUGUAAACUCUGAAAACAUUUUACAAAAGAAACCAUCUUUGCAACAAUUUAAAAAGUUCAUAUUUACAGAUAUUACAAAAAUACAAAUGGAUGCAAGUCCACUAACCAUAGUCGUUUCCUCCCACGAGUGCCAUACUUACAUUAAAAGAGUAACACUGUAAUCUCUUUUCUGUAUGUUAUAUCACAUCAACCUUUCUAAGAUAAGUUGUAAAUUGUGAUUCAACCCUUCAGUGGCUAUUGGACUAGCAAUGCAUUGGGGUCUAUGCACUAAGCUUCAAGUUAUGGUGACUCUAGAAUACUUGCAAAUUUAAAGCCAAAUUAGCAGAGUUGGCAGUAAUAUUCAACUAAGCUAGUUUAGCAUACAUUUCUCAAGAUGUGUUUAAAGUCACUAGAACUUGCUGUUUAGUUAAUAACUCUCAGUGUAACAGAAUGCACUUGAUUGCUUAACUAGUGGGUAUUAAGACAACUUGCUUCCAGCAUCUGGCAUGAAAUCGGUCACUAAUGCAGCAAUUUAUACCGCAAACCUAAUGAUUUGGCAAGUACUUUUCUGUUCACUAUUCCUUCUCAUCAUAAACCUGCUUAAACAUAAAGUCAAAUAGAAAUGUUAGAAGGAAAGGAAAAAACAGUUAUGUUGUUAAAAAAAAAUUAUUUAAAAAUCUGUUUCAUCAGUGCAAACAGAACGUUAAUUUCAAAGGAUGGUGAACAAGCUUGAAAUAGGCAGUCACUGGGAAUCACAAGCAUGGGUCCAGAGCUCUUUUAUACGUUGUCUACUUUGGGAAUAUCUCAAGACUUGACUGCCGUGACAGAUUUGCUCCAGUUAAGAUCCAAAACACUUAAAUAUGUUUUUCAAAGGAACACUCCACAGCCCAAAUACAAAAUAAAUUAAAAAUUACUGUUUAGUAUAUACACCCAAAAUGAAAACAAGCAUGCAUUUAAUUAUAAUUUUUUUCCCUUGGGGGUAUAUCUAAAAAAACAGCUUGAAAAAGGUGCAGAUCUCUUGUAUUCAGCAUUUGCAAGCCCUCCUCUUUUUUCUAAUCACAGACUUCCCAAUGCAGCUCAAUGAGACGUCUUUGCAAGUCAGGUGCUCUGAGCAAUUGCUGCCUCAUGAGUUUAGCUCCACUGAGCUAACCAAACCAAGAGGUAACAGCACCUGAUGUCAAGGGGGUGUAAUCAGAUUAAUUUAUAAAAGUGUCAACUUCUAUUGAAAUCAGAAUUGUUUUUUUUUUAAAUCACACAUAGAGCUUUCCAGCAAGCUAAAGUGCUUUAGGGGUCUGGAGUGUCCCUUUAAUUGUUGAACUUUUCCUAGUUUUGUGUUAAAGGAACACUCCAAGCACCAUAACUAUUACAGCUUGCUGUUGUGUUUAUGGUGCCAGGAGUGACACAGAGACAUCCUACGGUAAUUUGUCAAACUGUUUUAGUAUACUUGGGUCCCCAUGACGCCCAUGCUGCAUCCCCUCUUCUCCUGCAGGAGAAGCAGGAUGUCUCAUGACAGCUAAGCAUGGCCAAUGCAGGCCUGUGCUCAUUGGCUGAGAGUGCUUAGCUCAUACUUAAUGCAGUACUGCAUGGUCCUGUUUAGCUCAGUAGAGGAGAAUCCUAAAAGCAGUUAAACAAAUUAAACUGGGUUAGCAACAGGACACUGCUGAUACCAUAACCACUACAAUUGGUUGUUUUACUUGGAGUGUUGUUUAAAGCAUUGUUAAAAGAGAUUUGCUGAGAAUAAAGACAUUAAAAUAAUGUCCAUAUUUUUGUUUAUAUUUUCAAACAGAAUUCCUACAAAGAAUUUCUUAAAAACGAUGCUGCUAUCAUUACCUAUAUGGCUAGAGGAUUUGCGGUUUGUACUUGAAGUCUAAGCAAAAGGAACUGAAAUAUGUUUCUCUUUAACUGGGUAUGUUCUAACCUGCAAUGUUAUUGUUUGCCUUGUUUAUGAAGUUUAUUCACUAAACUGGAAAUUGUGAACAUUUUUAUGGGAUUAAACAUUUUAGACAGAAUUUGCAAAAAUCUUCAUGUCAGCUUUUUUUCUAGAAAUCUUUCAAUUCACCAGUUAAUUGUCUACAAUUCCUAGUUUAGUGAAUAAACUCUGUAUAUUUUCAAAUAUACAUUUGUCGAUUUUCAUGAAUGCAUGUACCCCAUGAAGGAAUAUUUUCAUAAGCACACUCAAGACACAAUGUUAUUAAGCACCUUGCACCUCUCCGUGUCUUGGUCUCUGCUAGGAAAAAAAAUGUACAUCUUAUGGUAUAUUAUGGAAGCGUACUUAAAGCUGCCCAGUGCAUUACGGCAUAAGUUUUCAAUACAUAUGUACUUGGCAUAUUUGAAAAGCAAUAAAUAAAUACCAUAUGUCAAUAUAAUUAUGUUAAGUCGAACAUUUUUUCUGUAUGAUUAUUGACCCCACCUCUCAAAAAAGUACCACUAUAGGAUGAUGUCUUCUCUGGUUUCAUUAUGUUACUAGCUUUAUUUCUGCUACUUAGGUAAAUAAAUUGAAUUUAGCACUACCACAGUUAGUUAUAUUCACAGUAAAGGGCUGUUAAGAUAGAGCUUGAAAACUCUCUCAUAUUUUGAACUUGAUUCUUGAAACAGAACAGUCAAAAACAAACAUUUAUAUGGCACUUGCAUGGAACAGAAAGUUUAAUUGUGCUACUUAAGGCUGUGCUUAAACAUAAAAUUCAUUAUAAAAGUGUUGACAGCAAAUUGCAUUAACAAUUAAUAGUCAAAAUACUAUUAGAACUCUUGAAAAUGACCAGUGUUUUAGUUAGAUUUCGAAAUCAUGGAGAUUAGCAUCAGAAUUUAUAAGGUUAUCACUUGUCCUUGAUUUAUGUGUGAUGUGAGAUGCCCUGCAUAAUAUUCAGAAGGGUAAAAGCACAAAGUGAUACCGCAAGUAAUGAUUACCUUGAUUUGCCACAUUAUCCUUUAGCACCAGUUUUGUACCUGUCAAAAUAAUGGUGUCAGUGAUUUUUAUAAUGUACAAAAUAUGUAUUAUAAGGCCUGUUAAACAGAAUAGUUUAGGUAUCAUAACAUUUGAGGAAGGCUAGCACCUUUCAGUAUGAGACACAUACCCAACCAGUUGGUCCACACACACACACAUACAUAUAUAUGUAUAUCAAAAGCAGUCCUGUGCAACACUCGUGCAAAUGGACUACUGAGUGUGCAUAAAGAUGAUGCACACAUAGGAUCUAACCAAGUGCUUACUAAUGACAAGUUGCACCAUAUUUCAGAUGACAAUUGUGGCCAUUUGAGGAACUGAAAGAUGUAAAAACUAAAAACAAAACGUUUGUGUUGUUUUAAAUUCUAUAAAUCAAACCUGGGGGUAACAACUGUUAAGUAGUUAAGUGUGUGUAGUAACAUUAUCAAAGGUAGUGAGGCAGAGAAGUAAUUAACAUCACGCAAAAUAUUGCAUAUUUAAUACUUAUAUGAGCUGAUUUUCUAAAGCAGAAAAUAACAUUUCAGUUAAAUUGCAGGCUGGGUAACUACUGUUUCAUCUGGUUAUCACUUUAAAAAUAUUAGUAUGGAUUAAAGGGACUCUCCAGGCACUAGAUCAUUAGUGGUGUUUUGUUGUUUUUGCACGCUCAAUCUUGUAUACAUUUUGCAAACACUACAAUAAAUGUUUGAAAGCACACUACAAUUUAACCCUGCCUCGUUUAUGCUCAGUCUCAACUUUCCCAUUCUAAAAUAAUUCCUUCUUGCUUGUUACUAUAAACAAUCUGUUGCCUUGAAAGAACUCUAGUGGCAGUCACCCAGAAAGCCACUAUGGGAGCUACCUGUCUCAGUGCAGUACUGUGUGAGUAAAAUCACAGAGAACUAGGGCAGACACCUAAACAGCCAUCCCAGCACUAUAAUAUAUACAGGUUUGUAUUACUAACACUAUAGUGUUCCUUUAAAUGAGUAGCAUUGUUUUCCACAUAAAAAGCAUGCAGUAACUUGUUCUCUCAUAUGAACAGUUUUUGAGGGAUGGAGCAUUUAUAAAGAUGUAUAUUAUUUAUAUUCUACCUGUUUCAAAAGGGCAUUCUUUGUUUCAUCCCAGCAUAACCAACAGUAAUGCUUGCAAAUUACAGCCUAAACUAAUCUUCAGUGCACAGUAAUAGGACUGAAGCAGUCUUGAGCUUACAGACACACGUAUUUGCAUAUUUCAACUACUGCUCCUAUCAACACUGAAAGCAUCUGUCUAAAAUAAUAUAUUUCGUUUUAAGAUUUGCUAUCCUUUUAUAAUUAUUCAUUAUACUGUACACAUGAGUAUCAAAGCAUUUUGUUACUCUCAUCUUUAAUCUCGCAAAAAUAUAAUAUGUAAUUAGCACGUUAAAGAAAUGAUAUCAUUAAAUAUCUAUUAUACGGCCUCAAUCCUGUUUUGCAUUAAACAGUGCCUGACACUGAACGCUAACCUAAAUGUCUUACGGACUUGGAUUAAAAACCCAUAACUAUUGCAAGGGCAAUACAUUUUAUUUAGCAUUUAUAUAUCUGGGUGAGGAAAGUAAUUGUAACUAAGGACCCUGAAUUAUAAAAACCAGAAACACAAAAUAUUUUAAGCUAAUCUGAAAUCUGAUAUAGAUAAAAGAUUUCAUAGGCUGAGUUCAGGUCCCAAAAUGCAGUCCUGAACAACAAACAGGUACAAUAUCAGUAUCUCUAUCGAUCACUCAAUUAGUCAAGCUGUAAUAUUAGUUAGUUAGACAAAGUACUCUAAAUGGUCAACAAAACAGAUAUUUAAGUAGUAUUAAUACAAUUUAAAGAAGAUGUAAUAACUUUCUUUUCAUUGUCUAAGAAACCCAUUAAGAAAGUUAAUAUAUUCUGAUAAUUAAUUCUGACUGGACAUAAUGACAGCUGUCCAAAUUUUCUAUUUAUGCUCAGGAAAGAUAGAAAGAUUUUAUUGGUUGUGUGCUGAGAAAAUUACCAACAUUUUGCAGGUACAUGGGAAAAUAUUGAACAAUUAAGCACUGCACAUAUUCAUGUAAAUUAAUUGGAAAUUCAUGAUCUUUUGGUUAGGUGAUGUCUAUUAUAUGAUGCCAUAAAAUAAGUUUUACUUUUAGCAAUAAAAUAAAACUAUUCAUAUGUUUAUACUUCUAAUUUCUUAAAUAUAUAUUUAUAUGUUCUUGACAUGAUCUUUUUUGUACAUUUCCCCCCCAAAAAAUUAUAAAAUAUGUUUAGGUGAUCAAGCUCUGUAAAAUCAAUGAAUGGCAAUGGAUUUAAGUACAUUAAACAAAUAUUAUCUUGGCCAUUUUAUACCAGUUAAGGUAAUGGUUGUCAAAUUAAUCUUAAAAGAGAAUCACACAAUGAUAUUUAUCAAGCUGUAGAUGAGUCAAAAAUCUCAAGUAUUUCAGUUGACUCAUGUUGAGAAGAAUAAUAGCUAUUAGAUUGUGACCUUGUUAACACUCUUUUUUUUUUUUUUUACUUUUAAAUUGAUCAGCAAAAUAUCUAACAGUUGAACAGAUGAUUAGAUACUUGUAUUGAUACAUGUAAAUGUGGUUAGACCCAGUCAUACGUGUGUUCUAUCAUUAUAGAAAAGGCAGCUACAUCAAUUAAUAUUCUUCUUUUAAAUGUAGUAAUUUCAAUAACAACAAAUACAAGACUUUUAAUAACAUAAUUAUGGACUGUUAAUAGCUUAUAGUGAAGGUCUGAUAAUGUCUUUAUAUGUAGUUGAGUCUAGAGGAAUGCAUGGCUGUGGCUGGGACUACUAUGAAUGGCUGAUUUGAAAAUAAUUAUUUACUAUGCGUGCAUUUCUUUUUAUAAUGUUAAAUCAUAUUUAAUUGAACAUCUCCAUUUUUACUCCUAACUUUGGGGGCAAUGACUGGAUAAGAACACCAAGGUCAGAAAAGUGUGGUUUUAGACUGUCAAUUCUACUCAAAGUUGGAUGGGCUAAUGAGGAGGUUAAUUUCCAGGUUAACUAAGAGGAAGGCCAAGGGAUAAGCUGUAAAUGGUGUUUGAAAACAGUUUGGACAGGACAUUCAGAAGGUUUGCACCACGACAACUACAUUGAACAUGGUGGUUAUGGUGAAUAUAGUGUGCCUAACAUUCUAUUUAGGAGCAAGCAAAUGAGAUUGGUCUUCCUAGCACUGCACUUGUUUUAAAAAUAACUGUUACCUUACUUAUAUUGAAGAUAAUAAUUGUGAUUAAAUAUUGCACUAAUUGGUAAAAUACAUAAAAGUGCAUUGAUUAGCAGACUGCCAGUUUUAGCAGGAAGAAACCAAAACACUUCACUGACAUGAAAAAUGCCCUUUAGUUUGCUCGUUUGAAAACUACAAUAUAUAUGUCUAAAUACACCACCCUGUGCAAACAAAUCAUUAUCCUAUCAUAUGUAACCCUCAACACUCAAUCUACACAUACAGUCACACACAAGCAGUCUGUACAUAUUAUAGAGCAGGGGUGACCAACAGCUGUUGUGGGGCUACAGAAUAAAGUAUGUGUUCCAUACUUCCACAAUUCAUGUAGGUUAGACAAUUAGACCAAAUGCAAAAAGGCUGGCAAAAUAUCAAGGCAUUUAACAUCCUACAAUAACUGGAGAGAUACUUAUUGGGCACCCCUGGCAUGAUGGCAUAAAAUCCAACCUCUCAUCUCUAUAUACAUAAAACUUGCAACAACUGAAAAACACUUGCAAUUUUGCCUUCGUUUAACCACUCUCACUACAUUUCAAUAACUUUAUUAUUCCUUUAAAAUAAUCAGAAUCUAGUAUCCUAGUUAUAAAUUAAGGAACAGAAAACCGCAUCCAUCUAAUCUCAGUAAAUGACAAUUGAAUCUUGUUUUAUACAUAUAUAUUCACGCUAUUGCCUUUUCAGUGUUUUGGGCAUUUAUAAUUAUCAAUGCAGUAUAGAGAAAAUUAAUGUAUGGAUAGAUAAUCAUAUUGAUACUCAUUUACUCAGUAGAAAGUGAAUUUGGGGGCUGCAGAGAUGAAGACAUUUUUCAUCUGAGCUGUAUACCCAGCUUGGAUAUUUUUGUGAAUUUGAAUUUCAGUUUCCAAAAUCCACCAUUUUGUUAAUUAACCCAUUAGCAUAACACAUAUAAUAUUGAUGUGGUUUCCCUUUAUUUCUCCUAGAAAAACUUAAAUGCUUUAAAUUUUAACCUGGAAUGAUGAGUUAGCGGCUGACCAGACGAUGCAAAAUGCUUGCAUGAAAAUACAUGCUUUGGAAAAUAGCUUUCGUUGCUGCCAUAUAUAGUGAUAUUAAUCAUAUACUGUAUGUCCUUCAUUAACCCUUUUGAAUGCUGGAGAAGCAAGAAAUAUAAAUAACGGUACUUUCAGUCACAGGAUCAUGUAACAAUAAUUUUAUAUUGGGAUGUAGUGUACCCACAUUAGUACACUUGGCAUUCACUCAUUUAACAAUUUAUUAGACUGUGCAUACAGUGUUACUGUGGUUAGAUACUGAAUGUCCAUUGUGUUGAUACCCAUACCUCUGCUCUUGGUUUAACAGCUGGGCUAAGGAGAAAUAAUUCAAUGUCAGAAAGGGAAGUUACUAUUUCCUGACCUUUUUUAAAGGGUGUCCUUACCUACUUCAAGGCCAGAAACAACCUAAUUUCUGCUUGGUACUGAACCUUUUACCGAGGCCAUUGGAGGUGAUUUUUAGGUGUAGAAAAUAAAAAAAGAUUCCAGGUUUGAUAAUAUCUCAAACAAGGUAACUGAUCAGUGCCCUAGAGCACUGUCACAUACUUAUGAACAUCUGCCAUCACUUUGUGUACCAAAAAUAACCUUUCCAGUUCAGUCAAAGCCAAACCAUGCCAUACACAUCCCUUUCAACUUGCUGAACUCUUUGUACCUCCAUAAACAUAUGUAAUGUAAACAUUACUCCCAUUUGAUUUCAAUAAUAAAAAACAAUUUGUCGAUUGACAUUUUUGUCUUAUUCGUUAACAAAAGUGCAAGUCAAUCCUUGACUUUUUGUUUGUGCAAAACUUCAAGUAAUUUAAUGUCAUUUAGCUUACAAAUCUCUGCGAUGUCUGUCAAUGCACUUUCUGUAUCCUUCUAUUCAAGUUUACAGUUAAGAAGUUAAUGAAAUGAAAUGUGUGACUAACAUUUCUAGAAGCUGGACUAGCAUCAUCAGUUUUGUUACCUCCAGCAGUCAAAUAGUUAAAUAAUAUUUCAACCAAAGCGGCAGAGGUGCAAUUCUAUUUCUGAUAGUUAGGAUCUGUACAUUCCAAAUGCAUAUAUGAGCUUGAUUUUUUUCAUUUUUGCUUUUUUUUUUUUUUUAAUAAUACUUACAAGUUUGGUUCAGUUUUGUUUUGUUGGCCACUAAAUUUAUGUAUUGUAUCCCACUUACUUCUUUACAAUUGUUUUCCAACAGUAAAAAUCCCACGUAACACACAGGUCACUUGACAACGAACCUUCACUUAAAAUUAAUGGAAAAAAAGAAUCAAAGUUGUUCAGUUGGACUUUUUAUACAAAUAGACUGAUUUAUAACAUAAUUUUUAAUGUUUUGCUUAUUUUCAGUUUUUUUGUUUGUUUUUUAUUGAGAGUCACGUAACAAUGUAACAAGCAAUAAUGGAUUAGUGUAUUUAAAUAAUAUAAGGUACACUAAAUCUCUAAAACUAGCAUAAAAACAAUCUCCCCAAUUGCAUUUCCUGUGAACUUCAAUAACUAGUGUUAUGUAUGUGUAUGUGUAUACUUGAUUUGAGUUUCUCUUAGGGACACUCAGCCAGUUAAACACUGAGUAAUCUGCAUGCCUAUCUUACUAUGAAGAAUGAGGCAGCUGGCUAGGGAGUCAAUGUGCAGGGGCCAACCUGGUAAUGUUCACAGUGAAAAUGCCAUGAGACAACCCAGAUAAUGACUGUCUAGAUUUUCCUUUAUUGAAUAUAAUGGAUCAAUAAAAGCAGUUUUAUGUAAUAAUGUGUCUAUUUGUUAAUGAAUAGAAAGGUCUCACACAGUCUGGUUGGGUAUGAUUUGAUGAAUACUAAAUAUUUGUUGGUUCUGCUAUCAAUAUCAAGCAAGUGCUAUACUUGACCUUUUUAUAUUAACAUUGAGCUAUUGUGUAAUUUGUCUUGUUCUUCAAGGAAAAUAUUUUCAUUUUCAUUUCUAUUGCCACUAGCAUGCAAGAUACAUAUUUUCAUUAUGAAUUUUUGAAAACAUGUUUUAUUUUUUCAUGGUAUUUAAUAUUUGUGCUCUUCCAAAUUCUGUUAUAUUUUCAUUUUCAUGGCACUUCAACCAGUCUACUUUCCAAUUGACAAACCUUUUAAAAGUUCCUUUUUUACAGAAAUAUUCCAUGAAAUCUUCUGUGAGUACUCCACUGGGAACUGUGGGGACUGGCUACAUGCAAGUUCUGUACAAUUGUUAUAGUCUAUCAGUAGCAGAACAUCAAACUAUAACCAAGGAAGAUUUCCUUCUAAUCACACAUUGAUAUAUAUGUAUAUAUAUAUAUAUAUAUAUAUAUAUAUAUCUAUAUCUCACACACACACACACACACACGCAUGCACAUCUUAUGUAUUGUGGCCUUGGAGCUUCCAAUAUAUUACUGAUUAAACAUGUCUCACAAUGUUAAUUAAAUAUUUUAGACCUGGCUCACAAUGACAUCCUUUCCAGUUGCCAGUAUUCCUCUCUCUUGUGUUACUUUUAUGUAAAUACUUUGCCCAACUGCCCAAAGGAAACUCACAUUGUGAAAAAAAUGAAAAUAAAAUAAAAAUUACAGUACUUCCAAGAUUAAUUAUACAUAAUAAAACCUUAAAAAAGUAUGUUUUGAUUUCUAAAAAUGUACAAAAACAAAUUUGAGGCUCUUAAUUAUUAUCUUUGUUAAUAAUGGACAUGUAUUACUGUGACUCAGAAUAAGAAGAUGGUAUUCACAGAAUACAAUUACCUUUUCACCUCUGUUUUCCUCUUAACCAAUCAGUGCUGCAACAUAUUGUUUAGCAGAAGGAGAGUUAAACUCUCAAGAAAUUCUAAUGCCUUAUACUCAAUGGAUGCAUAUCCACAUUUAGUCUAAUAUUCAUAUUUACAAUUUUAUCAAAAAUAUUAUAUUUACAGUUUUUUUAACUGUGAAAGUUCACGUUGUCUUUUUUCAUGUACAAAAAUACCUAUUUUAUGCUCUUUUUUUUUCUCCUUUUCCUAAUCUGCUUGGUUCCCAGGGAAGCACUUCAGCAAAGUAAUAUUAAACUGUUUUUACAAUACCAACUUUGUUUCUAUAGCAUUGUUAUUCUUUUUAUGUAACCCAAUGGCACCUUAAGAUUGAUUUGACUAAAUAAUUGAUAUAAGGAAUUAAGGUAAAAAAGUAGUUUAGUAAACACAGAUGAUGCAAUUCUUCCUUAGGACUGCUAAAAUGACAAAUAAUUGCACUAAUAUAUUCUCAGUUCAUUGUGUUCUACCAAUGCUAGGUUAACAUUUCAGCCCCCUAAUUAUUAUUAUUAGUAUUUUUUUUAAUUUUUAUUCUUUUAA
rnacentral:lncRNA from 1 species